AAUCAACGCUGGCGGCGUGCCUAACACAUGCAAGUCGAACGAGAAAGUCCGCAAGGAUGAGUACAGUGGCGACCGGGUGAGUAACACGUGACUAACCUACCCUCGAGUGGGGAAUAACUCCGGGAAACCGGAGCUAAUACCGCAUAACAUCGCAAGAUCAAAGCCGAAAGGCGCUUGAGGAGGGGGUCGCGGCUGAUUAGCUAGUUGGUAGGGUAAUGGCCUACCAAGGCGAAGAUCGGUAUCCGGCCUGAGAGGGCGCACGGACACACUGGAACUGAAACACGGUCCAGACUCCUACGGGAGGCAGCAGUGGGGAAUUUUGCGCAAUGGGGGAAACCCUGACGCAGCAACGCCGCGUGGAGGAUGAAGUCCCUUGGGAUAUAAACUCCUUUCGACCGGGAAGAUACU
rnacentral:rRNA from 1 species